CAGUAGCCGCGGUAAAACGUAGGUGGCAAGCGUUGUCCGGAAUUAUUGGGCGCAAAGGGCUCGCAGGCGGUUUCUUAAGUCUGAUGUGAAAGCCCCCGGCUCAACCGGGGAGGGUCAUUGGAAACUGGGAAACUUGAGUGCAGAAGAGGAGAGUGGAAUUCCACGUGUAGCGGUGAAAUGCGUAGAGAUGUGGAGGAACACCAGUGGCGAAGGCGACUCUCUGGUCUGUAACUGACGCUGAGGAGCGAAAGCGUGGGGAGCGAACAGGAUUAGAUACCCGCGUAGUCCCUGUCUCUUAUAC
rnacentral:rRNA from 1 species